rnacentral:rRNA from 1 species
AGAGUUUGAUCCUGGCUCAGGACGAACGCUGGCGGCGUGCCUAAUACAUGCAAGUAGAACGCUGAAGAGAGGAGCUUGCUCUUCUUGGAUGAGUUGCGAACGGGUGAGUAACGCGUAGGUAACCUGCCUUGUAGCGGGGGAUAACUAUUGGAAACGAUAGCUAAUACCGCAUAACAAUGGAUGACACAUGUCAUUUAUUUGAAAGGGGCAAUUGCUCCACUACAAGAUGGACCUGCGUUGUAUUAGCUAGUAGGUGAGGUAAUGGCUCACCUAGGCGACGAUACAUAGCCGACCUGAGAAGGUGAUCGGCCACACUGGGACUGAGACACGGCCCAGACUCCUACGGGAGGCAGCAGUAGGGAAUCUUCGGCAAUGGGGGCAACCCUGACCGAGCAACGCCGCGUGAGUGAAGAAGGUUUUCGGAUCGUAAAGCUCUGUUGUAAGUCAAGAACGGGUGUGAGAGUGGAAAGUUCACACUGUGACGGUAGCUUACCAGAAAGGGACGGCUAACUACGUGCCAGCAGCCGCGGUAAUACGUAGGUCCCGAGCGUUGUCCGGAUUUAUUGGGGCGUAAAGCGAGCGCAGGCGGGUUUGAUAAGUCUGAAGUUAAAGGCUGUGGCUCAACCAUAGUUUCGCUUUUGGAACUGUCAAACUUGAGUGCAGAAAGGGGAGAGUGGAAAUUUCCAUGUGUAGCGGUGAAAUGCCGUAGAUAUAUGGAGGACAACCGGUGGCGAAAGCGGCUCUCUGGUCUGUAACUGACGCUGAGGCUCGAAAGCGUGGGGAGCGAACAGGAUUAGAUACCCUGGUAGUCCACGCCGUAAACGAUGAGUGCUAGGUGUUGGAUCCUUUCCGGGAUUCAGUGCCGCAGCUAACGCAUUAAGCACUCCGCCUGGGGAGUACGACCGCAAGGUUGAAACUCAAAGGAAUUGACGGGGGCCCGCACAAGCGGUGGAGCAUGUGGUUUAAUUCGAAGCAACGCGAAGAACCUUACCAGGUCUUGACAUCCCGAUGCUAUUUCUAGAGAUAGAAAGUUACUUCGGUACAUCGGUGACAGGUGGUGCAUGGUUGUCGUCAGCUCGUGUCGUGAGAUGUUGGGUUAAGUCCCGCAACGAGCGCAACCCCUAUUGUUAGUUGCCAUCAUUCAGUUGGGCACUCUAGCGAGACUGCCGGUAAUAAACCGGAGGAAGGUGGGGAUGACGUCAAAUCAUCGUGCCCCUUAUGACCUGGGCUACACACGUGCUACAACGGUUGGUACAACGAGUUGCGAGUCGGUGACGGCGAGCUAAUCUCUUAAAGCCAAUCUCAGUUCGGAUUGUAGGCUGCAACUCGCCUACAUGAAGUCGGAAUCGCUAGUAAUCGCGGAUCAGCACGCCGCGGUGAAUACGUUCCCGGGCCUUGUACACACCGCCCGUCACACCACGAGAGUUUGUAACACCCGAAGUCGGUGAGGUAACCUUUUGGAGCCAGCCGCCUAAGGUGGGACAGAUGAUUGGGGUGAAGUCGUAACAAGGUAGCCGUAUCGGAAGGUGCGGCUGGAUCACCUCCU